GCCUGAGAACUCUUAGGGAGAUUUGAUCACACAGUUUUAUUUGAGCCAUUUCCCCACCUGACUCCCCUUGGCUACAGAGAACCCACACUGGACACCCCUUCUCACUGAUGCAGUUGGUUCAUUUAACUCAUACUGUCUUUGUUUGUUGACAGAAUGCUGGAAUUAUCGCAUUGAAAGGGAAUUUGAAGAGGGUGACUCAAGCCCAAACCUACCAGAAAGAAUCUGAAGAUCAUGAAGAUUUAAAACCUUGUUCAUAGGAACACACAAUGAGAAAAGGUGACUAUAUUCACUGCACCUACUAUGCCUUCAUGCAAACAAGCUGCAAAACAAUCGCUGCUCAUAGUGUCACACCUUCUUCCUCCAGGCUUGGUAGGCACAUUAGUCGGUUGUGUAGAUUCACCCAGACUAAGCACUUCUUCAACUGACCUGGAGAGCAUAGCGAGGAAUUGGAAACCAUGCUUCAUGACUUUGAAAGCUGAUCAUCUAGUUCAGGAAACGGGAUGGGCAUUCAAAAUGACUGGUCCAUUGACACAUAUGUGUUCACACACAGACACACUUAAAUGUUAAUGAGCUAUGCUACUCGUCUGUGAAAGGUUUGAAGAAUAUCAUCCUGCAAGUGUUGUAUUCACUGUAUCUGUUUCCGUGUCUGUGAAGAGACACCUUAAACCUUCAGACCAUUUAAAAAAGUGAGAUAGUGAAUAUGAAAUCACUUUGAAAACUAAGAGAUAAUAGUUUUCAUUGUUGUUAUUUAAUACUUUUAAAUUUACAUACAGCAUUAUGAAAUUUCUCAAAAGUAUGGCAUUGGCCUUUUUCAUUCAUUGUACUGAAUAAUUGAAAGAGGGAUAAGUUGUCUUCUCAAUCCAGCAAAUCCAGAGUAUUUUUUUGUAUUUUUUCUUUGGUAUUUUCUUUCCCACAAUUUUCUGUUUUGUUUUCUUUCUUUCUUUCUUUCUUUUUCUUUCUUUCUUUCUUUCUUUCUUUCUUUCUUUCUUUCUUUCUUUCUUUCUUUCUUUCUUUCUUUCUUUCUUUCUUUCAGCAACCCCAGAAAGAGAUUUUGAACCUUGUGGAUUUGGUCUCUUAUUCUUGAUUGGUUUUCAAAAUCCUUAUCCCUUUAUUCCUACUUUUCAUUUCCUUAUAUUUUGUUCUCUCUCUUCAUUUACCUCUCCAAAGCCACUCCCUAACCUGAUUCUUCCUUUACUGUGCCUGUGGGACUUGCAUGUACUUCAAUGGGCUCUCUUGCU
rnacentral:lncRNA from 1 species